rnacentral:rRNA from 1 species
CGGCGAACGGGUGAGUAACACGUGGGCAACCUGCCCUCAGCUCUGGGACAACUCCGGGAAACCGGGGCUAAUACCGGAUACGACAUCGGAUCGCAUGGUCUGGUGUGGAAAGUUUUUCGGCUGGGGAUGGGCCCGCGGCCUAUCAGCUUGUUGGUGGGGUGAUGGCCUACCAAGGCGACGACGGGUAGCCGGCCUGAGAGGGCGACCGGCCACACUGGGACUGAGACACGGCCCAG